ensembl:lncRNA
CCAUGAUCUAACAAUGCCCAUGCAUUUAGGCAGUCAUCUACAAAACAACUUUUAUCAAACAAUUUAAAUUAUUUAAUUCAUUCUCUUAACUGAUUCAUAGCAAGCUGCAAAAAGUUACCUCUCAGGCUACGUUUGAAGUUAUGUCUACUGCUUAUAUCAAACACUGAAGUUAAUUGUCAGCAAAAUCCUUGUAGAAAUACCAUUGGUAGUGUGCAAAGUAAGAAUGUCUUAUUGGAUCACCUGUUUUGCCAGGAUUUGGUGAGGGUAUGCACAUAGACUAAGUGUUUGGUUACUUGCAAAAUGUUCUUCCAUACCAGCACAGCUGAAGACUCAGAGUGAAGGAAGAGUGGAGGAAGGUGAGGUCAGAGGAAAAGGUAGGUCUCACCUAAGCUUGGGACAGACUUCAGGAAAACUGCAUGCCAGUUCUUAAUGCAGUCUUCAAGAGUAAACUCCUGGUAAACCUCCUCUACGUUCAGAUGGAGCCAGUUCAAUCCAGAGGACUGCUGUUUGAACAGUGUCCCUCCAGGAGCAAGCAGAAAAGUAUUGAACCCAAAAGAGGAUAAGUGGGAAAGCUGAGAGACGAAUUUGCUUUCAGGAACACAAAAACCCUAAUUAAACUUUGCAACUAAGGGACAUCUAUGGUAUAAAAUAAUCAAAAGAAGGGACUGAAGUU